GUUUUAAUAGUUUAAAAAAAAAUUUUGGUCUUGUAAAUCAAUGUUAGGAAAAUUCCUUUAAAACU
rnacentral:tRNA from 1 species